rnacentral:rRNA from 1 species
UUUCAGUGGAUCCCUUGGCUCGUGGGUCGAUGAAGAACGCAGCAAACUGCGCGUCAUCAUGUGAACUGCAGGACACAUGAACAUCGACAUUUCGAACGCACAUUGCGGCCCUGGGACUUGUUCCCGGGCCACACCUGACUGAGGGUCGGUAGACCAUAUCUCACGAUACGACCAGAC